CCAGAGAAGGGAAGGCACAAAUAGCUUUCAAGACUGGAGAGGCACAGGUGCCUUGAGCAAAUAGUGCCUUGUAUUUACCCUUCCCUUUACUUGACACCCUGAGACAGUGUUGUGUAACACGCGUGGAGACACUUGCACGUCUGAGGAGGACAGCAGAGUGGUGGUGAGGUGGGCAGAGAUAAUUUGCUACUUAUGAUAGUCUCUGUUUUCUGAAGAGCAAAACGUUUUCGUUUGAAAGCCGUAGGGAUUGAACCUGGACCUCGCCCAUCUCCAUGUACCACUGAGCUACACACACAGGCUCAUCAACGCUUUUCUACUGUGGUGGGAGAGGAAAUCAAAGUGCUGAGCAUUAGCUCAACAAAGGGCCCAGCUGUAUUUGGGGACUGAGUGUGAAUGUAGCGCAAGCAGCACUCGCUAAAGGCCUGGAAGGUGGGAACAGUCUCACAGAUGGCACCUGAGAGAGGAGCAAAUCGGAGAAGGCCUUGCAGAAGAGGUGGCACCAGAGAGCUUUAAAGACACCCAACCCUUCUACUACCUUUGGGGACAGGGGAGAGUUAGCCUGCCAGACGAUGAGAGGAGGGCAGAGGGGUUUGUUUGCAAGUAUUAGUCUCCCGCGCCGAGGGCAUGGUCCUAACUGUGACUCUGCAGGGGCGAGCAGGCUGUGGAUGUCUGGAUGCCUGGCCACCUUCCGAGCUUCAGGGCAGAAGCAGAUGCUACAGAGCGCGGAACAAGGAUCAAAGAUGGACUGCAGCACAGUUACCAUAGCUCUGAAAGGAGGAGAAACAGGUCUGAAGACCUCUCUUUCAGCAUCAUGGCUUUACCGCACUGAAUUUCAACAGAUUUCCCCCAAAUUUAAUAACUGGCUGUCAGCUGAUUUGUACAUUUGGCAAAACCACCAGGACUCUGCACCAGUGCUGGACUCACACAUCCUUGCUGCCUAAACAGCCCGCACCCACAACUCUCUGACAGUUGUGAGUGAGGCCCUUAUAUCUAGUUUUCCCAAGAGGGUAUGGGGACCUCUUCAUUCAGGGGAGUCCCAAAGUAGAUCCCAGAAGGUCUGGUGGUGUCUUGCUCUUUUACUUUCUAUAUUUAUUCAGAGACAGGGUCUCACUAUAUAAUUCAGGCAGGCCUUAAACUCAUUAUGUAGCUCAGGCUGGCCUGGUAGUCUUGCAAAUCCUCCCACUGCUCAGCCUCCCAAGUGGUGGGACUGUAGGUGUGCACUAUCAUGUCUGGUUGGUGAUGCUUUUUGUAAUUAAUUGAUUAAAUAACUUGUUAUGCUUUUCUGUUA